rnacentral:snoRNA from 1 species
AUGCAGUGAUGAGUUCUUAGACUACAGAAAUUUCAUGUUGAAUAAUUUUUGAGCUUUUUAACUCUGAGCUAU